UGAAGUUAUGCAAUAAUUUUUAAAAAAAUGUUCAGUUUAAUUUCUUAACAAAAUGUGAUAAACAUUAUGUAGAAGUAAAACAGAAAAUUAUCGAAAUAAAUUCCAAACUGUGCCUAAAAAUAUAUUUAAGGGAAUUAAAUAGACUAAUACAGAAAAAAAUUUUCAAUUUGAAAGCAUAUCGGGACAAAAUGAAAGUAUUUGCAAUUGAAGAAAUUGAUGAAAUCAACAAUGAAAAGUCAUCUCAAAAUAUUGAUGUGUGUACCAAUUCACGUCAUACAGAAUGAAUCUGCAAACAGAUUGCAAAAAAUGAAAACAUACUAUGAAUAUACAUUUGCUAAUAAUUACCUUCAUAUUAUCUAUAGGUUUUUAAAUAUUCCAAUAAAAAUAGAUAAUAUAAUGAAUGUCCACACUUUUAUAACACAAUAUUUGUUUUUCUUUAUUCAAAUCAGGAUAUGAGCAAUUGGAUUAAUUCUCAUUUUGAACUGAUAGUCCCACAUCAGUCCAAACACGU
rnacentral:lncRNA from 1 species